CCUGCACCCUAUUUCUAAGCAGCAGAAUAGUGUAUUACAUUAUCUACCAAUUGCUGGGCCAAGUUAUGUGAAACUACAAACAGGAAUGGCCAGGGAGGGGGAGGUAAACAGUGUUACAUGAUCUCCUCUGUUAUUUUAUCUGUCUCAGAUUCUCUAAAUAUGCCCCCCAUAGCCUAGGACCCUCCUCCCCUCAAACACCAGAAGAGCUGGAAUACAAGUUUACUCUUUGAUUGUGAGAAAAUGAGUGUUGGUGACAUCUAGCAGAGCUUUCAAAGAUCUUCACAAAUGUCAGUGAACGCUUCUCUCCAUGCCACUUGUUAUCGUAAUCACUCUGCUCGACCAUCUUUGUGUUAUGUUAAGUAGUGAGUCUGCUUUCUGUCUGUGGCUCUUUCCUCCUUGGGUUUCAAUUCCAAACAUGGUUAUCCUUCUCAUAGUCUCUACCCCCGCCUCUCCUGCUCCAUGUUUCCAACAGUCUUCAGUCCAGUGUGGGACAGGGAACAGAAGCAGAGACAUUAUAGGGCUGAUUUCUAAAAGGAAAAGUGGGUGUCAAUGGAACUGAAUGGAACGGAAUUAUGAAGCUUCCUUCAUUCCAACUGUUUUUGGCAGUAAGUGGUGCAUUGACUGUUAGAGGGUGUGGGGAACAAUCUGUUUGUAUCUAAUAUCUAGUCUUUUUAACAACCAUUUUAAUACCUUGGGCUUUUGAACCUCUAAUUUUUCCAUCAAGGUAUUUGAUGACACUCUUUUUUUAAUUCGGUAUUUCAUUGAAUUGGAGACUCAAACAUGAAUAGUGGCGACUCUAUCUUCAUUGACAGCAUAAUUUUCAAUCACACACUCUGCAAUGGCUGGACCAACAGCACUGAAGGUGCCAUCUACCAUCUGGGUAACACUAUUCUUUUUUUGGGCUAUAUGGGUGGUAGUGGAGCAUAUGGGGCUCUGUACAUCUUCAGUUUUUUGGCUCCCGCUUUCCUCUGUCUGGCUCUGUGGGGCUGGCUGACGGUGUGCGGCCUUGAUGUCUUCCUCUGGAACCUGCUGCUGAUGCUGCAGUGUUUGGCCCAGGUGUGUCAUCUGAUUUUUCGGCUGAUGCAGGACGGUUUAGCCAACGAGGAGCUUUCUGCGUUCUACACGGCGGUCUAUCUGCCGCUGGAUGUACCUGUGCAGGUGUUCAAGGACAUCACGGCUGCUAGCGAGAACAAAGUGCUCUCUCUAGCGGCGGAGGAGACAUAUGCUGUGGAGGGGAAGACGCCCAUUGAUCAGCUGUCUUUUCUCAUUUCUGGCAGGAUUAGAGUGUCCUUAGAAGGUCAAUUUCUCCAUUAUAUCUUCCCUCACCAAUUUCUUGACUCUCCAGAAUGGGAGUCUCUAAGACCAACAGAGGAGGGCAACUUCCAGGUGACAUUAACCGCAGAGACGGACUGCCGUUACAUCUCUUGGCGCAGACGUCGGCUUUACCUUCUGCUGUCCAAGGAUCGUUACAUUGCCCGACUUUUCUCUGUCAUGCUCGGAAGUGACAUUGCUGACAAACUGUACUCUCUCAAUGACAAGCUGUUUGCCAAGAGCGGUGUGCGCCUUGAUAUUCGUCUGCCCAGUCUCUACCACGUCCUCGCCCCCUCGCCACAGGGCAGUGAGGGUGGCAGCACUAGCUCACCACCCAGGGGAAGCCAAGGAGAUCCUACAGUUGUAAAGGUUGAUCCAGCACCGUCUAACCAGCGCUCUGAUGAAAGAACCUUCCAUCCGGACCAGGGAAAGACCCCUGUGCCCAAACCUCCACACCAGGUCUGGCCCUCAGACACAGAGAUGCCCUCUGGUGAGGACUCAACCAGCUUGGUUCUGGAGGACUUUGCUGAUAUGACAGGCUCUCUAAUGGACUACGGGAGUGAGAGGGAAUAUUUGAAGUAAAGAUUAGGGUGUUGAAGCUUAACACACUGGGACACUUCUUAAAUCACAAUAGGAUGAUACUCCAGGAAGUCUUCCACUUCGUUUCCAAAGAGGAUGUGCCCCACUGGCCCCUACUGACACCCCAAAGCUGUAGGAAUGGUUUCAGCAGUAUAAAGACCAUAACAUCUGAACGAUUCCUCCAUUAAAUCACCAUCACUGUUUCCUUUCAUAUGAUUGAAGACAACAUUAACACAGAACAGUAAAAGAUCCAUCAAAUGUACUUUUGUUUAGGACAAAACAGAAUCACAAAACUUUUUUUUUUUUUUUUUUUGUCCAGACAGAUACUGUGUUAUAUAUGAUUCCACAUUGCUGUGAUUUCAGCAUGGCUGUUUUAUAUUUAUUUGAAAUGGCAUGUGUUUGUUAGUGAAAUCUGUUUGGAAUACUGUAUUUGCGACAGGAUUUGUAAGGUAAAAGCAACAAAUUAGAUUUUUCAACACAAACAAAUCAAUCUUUAUUUAAUUUUAACACCUCAGAGUUUAUUGAUAGUAGGUAGAUAAUGAGAUUACAAAAGUGUGUGCUUUAUCAUAAUAGGAAGUUAGUAAAUGCUUCAUCAUCAUGUAGUGAGACUAUAUACUGACCAUGUUAUGAAAAUGUAUUUUCAUGGGGCCAACUAUUAAGUGCUGGGUUAAAAACGUGACUUGAUAUUCUUCUUACAAUACCAUUUCAAAGCAGAGAUUAGCCUUAUUGCUAAUUGUGAAUGAACAGAUCUAAUUUGUAAUAUCAAGUAUGCAGUGUGCAGUUAAAAAAACUAAUCAAAGUGCCAAAGUAUUGAAUUUUGUAACUUGAAUAGUAAGUUUUAAUAACUGAAAAUGAACAUUCAGCACAUAUAUUAACACAUAAAAGAACUGCUGUAUGUUAAAUGACUGACUUUCUUAAUACACAAUAUUUUUUGUAGCUGAUUGUUGUCUAACAAAACUAAACAAAGAAAUUCAGGCACGUUAAAUUCCUCUCGACUGAUAUUUCACUAUAACACUCUCUGGAACAGUGCACAUAAAAACAAAAGUAUCUGAAAUCAUAUUUUACAUUAUUUGUGAAAUCAUAUACAUAUUUUUUUGUGAAAACAAUCAUUUUGUGAAAACACAAUAAAUAUAUCUAACAGAGCAA